rnacentral:rRNA from 1 species
UAGAACUAACGCUGGCAGUGCGUCUUAAGCAUGCAAGUCAGACGGAAUGUAGCAAUACAUUCAGUGGCGAACGGGUGAGUAACGCGUGGAUAAUCUACCUACGAGAUGGGGAUAACUAUUAGAAAUAGUAGCUAAUACCGAAUAAAGUCAAUUAAGAUGUUAGUUGAUGAAAGGAAGCCUUUAAAGCUUCGCUUGUAGAUGAGUCUGCGUCUUAUUAGCUAGUUGGUGGGGUAAGAGCCUACCAAGGCUAUGAUAAGUAACCGGCCUGAGAGGGUGAUCGGUCACACUGGAACUGAGAUACGGUCCAGACUCCUACGGGAGGCAGCAGCUAAGAAUCUUCCGCAAUGGGCGAAAGCCUGACGGAGCGACACUGCGUGAACGAAGAAGGUCGAAAGAUUGUAAAGUUCUUUUAUAAGUGAGGAAUAAGCUUUGUAGGAAAUGACAAAGCGAUGACGUUAAUUUAUGAAUAAGCCCCGGCUAAUUACGUGCCAGCAGCCGCGGUAAUACGUAAGGGGCGAGCGUUGUUCGGGAUCAUUGGGCGUAAAGGGUGAGUAGGCGGAUAUGCAAGUCUAUGUGUAAAAUACCACAGCUCAACUGUGGAACUAUGCUGGAAACUGCAUGACUAGAGUCUGAUAGGGGAAGUUAGAAUUCCUGGUGUAAGGGUGGAAUCUGUUGAUAUCAGGAAGAAUACCAGAGGCGAAGGCGAACUUCUAGGUCAAGACUGACGCUGAGUCACGAAAGCGUAGGGAGCAAACAGGAUUAGAUACCCUGGUAGUCUACGCUGUAAACGAUGCACACUUGGUGUUAAUCGAAAGGUUAGUACCGAAGCUAACGUGUUAAGUGUGCCGCCUGGGGAGUAUGUUCGCAAGAAUGAAACUCAAAGGAAUUGACGGGGGCCCGCACAAGCGGUGGAGCAUGUGGUUUAAUUCGAUGAUACGCGAGGAACCUUACCAGGGCUUGACAUAUACAGGAUAUAGUUAGAGAUAACUAUUCCCCGUUUGGGGUCUGUAUACAGGUGCUGCAUGGUUGUCGUCAGCUCGUGCCGUGAGGUGUUGGGUUAAGUCCCGCAACGAGCGCAACCCUUGUUGUCUGUUACCAGCAUGUAAAGAUGGGGACUCAGACGAGACUGCCGGUGAUAAGCCGGAGGAAGGUGAGGAUGACGUCAAAUCAUCAUGGCCCUUAUGUCCUGGGCUACACACGUGCUACAAUGGCCUGUACAAAGCGAUGCGAAACAGUGAUGUGAAGCAAAACGCAGAAAGCAGGUCUCAGUCCAGAUUGAAGUCUGAAACUCGGCUUCAUGAAGUUGGAAUCGCUAGUAAUCGUAUAUCAGAAUGAUACGGUGAAUACGUUCUCGGGCCUUGUACACACCGCCCGUCACACCACCCGAGUUGAAGAUACCCGAAGCUAUUAUUCUAACCCGCAAGGGAGGAAGGUAUCUAAGGUAUGUUUAGUGAGGGGGGUGAAGUCGUAACAAGGUAGCCGUACUGGAA